AUGUGCAGCACAUGUCAAACUCCUCAGAUUUCAGACCUCAGUCACUCUGCGCUGCAGCCUUUUAAAGAAACUAUUCACCACCUCUGCUUUCCAAGCAAAGACAGUGGUGUCUGCCAGGUGUCAUCUAAAACCAUUCAAGGUCGGGGCUGGGGAUUUAGCUCAGCGGCAAAGCGCCUGCCUGGCAAGCGCAAGGUCGUGAGUUCGGUUCCCGGUACCGGAGAAAAACAAACAAACAAACAAAAAAACAAAAAAACAAACAAACAAAAAAACCAUUCAAGGUCAAAACAAGGGCACCAGUUAGUGUGGACAGACUCUACUGCCACCAGAGAGGACAAAACAGCACCAGGGCUGCAAACCCUCAGCAGGCUCAGAGGAACCAGCAGCCUGGUGCCGAGGAGGGAGAAGCCAGAGGGCUUCUGGCUUCUGCUGGUCACACUUGUCCCCGCCCACAGCACCAUGGCACACAGAGGAGGAGGCAGAAACUUGGAAGGUGAACCACUCUGACUAAGGAUAUGCAGGAAACUAGAUGGAGCUGGCGCUGGAGCCCAGGUGUCCUUUCUUCAGGGAAGUAGUUUUCAAUCCUGUGCUUUGGGUGAAGUCAUGUCCAUUUCCCCAUUACACUAAGUACAUCCUUCUGCCCCUAGCAUUGGCUUUCUAGGGAUCAUCAUCAUUUUCUUGGGUUCCAAAGAGCCCCAUAUGACACUAACGCAGUGUCUGGCACACAGGAGGUGUUCAAUAAGUACUGAUGGAAAAACCCCUACAGAUAGAAAGAGUCUUAUUUUUUAAAGUCUAGUAUCCUGAGCAUAAGCUUCUCGCUCUUCUUCGUACAGAUCAGAGGAAACCAGGAGCAGAUGCGAGACCCUCACAGAGCUAGAAUCCCCCUCUUGCAAGUCAAGAGCUUUGGAUGCAGCACAGCUCCCCGACCUUGCACAGAUGCUUUACGACAAAGGUUUGCGGGCUUAGCUGAGAAACAGUGUGGUUCAUACUGAGCACACGGGACUUAGGCAGAGAAGGUCUAUCUGCUUCUAUGACCCCAUUUCUGGGUGCUGAGCAGUAAACGCUGGCCCCUGUGAGGUGCAGCCUUAGGGGCAGCCAGUGCCCUCUGCAGCUCCGUCCCUGGCCAGCCUACUUCCCCUUCCCAGUCCUCCCCAGGAUGACAGCAAAGCUUUGGCAAAGACAGCACCGGGGCUUCCAGGUCACCUCUUGCAUUCUAACUUCCAACUUCCUCAGCUGCCAUCUGGCUGUUCCUGGAGUGACCUCGGGUGCCAUCACCCCCUCUAGGCUCCCGGCCUGGUUCUUCCCGGCCCUCUCCUCCCUGUGCUCUACUAGUUUCUGCCUUUUGACAAACUCCCUUCCCCUAACUUCUUUUUUUUCAUUUCAGUCCCCUAAGGAGCCUUUGUCCGACAGCCCCUCUCCCCACUGACUUGCCUAGUGCCACAAAACGCAGAAGCACGGCCCACUGCGCUCCCUACUGCGGCGCCCACAAGGGCCACGGGCCCUGGCGACUUCCGAGAUAACUCUCCUGCUGUGGUGGGGCCUGUGCCCUGUUAAGAAAUCUGCUUAAUCUGGCAUGCCCUGUCCUGCAGAAUUUCCCUACUGGGCUGCUGUCCUUCCUCUGCCAGCACAGCUUCCUGAAGGCCACACCCCAGGGCCUCUACAAACAACCUCAUCAGACCAAUGUGCUUUGUCCAACGUGAAGGAAGGAGUGUUUUGUUCUGCUCUGAAGGCCCCUUUCCUGGGUGUGUGUGUGUGUGUGUGUACACAAGCGCACGGGUACACAGCCACUCUUCCUGCUUGGCAUCUGAGCAUUCUCCACUGGACACGCUCACAGCAGGCCCCAGAAACGAGCAGCUCCACAUGCUCACCGAGCAGGAAGAAAACAAUUCACACAACGGCAACAGCUGCAGCUCCAUAACAGGCAGCAACAGCCACCACUUCAUGGUCUGCUGCUUGUAAGUGUGAAAUGACCGGGGCUCCAGCACGAAACUCUGUGGAAUGCCCAGUGCACGUCCACCUCGCUGUGCCCAUGGUGCUGGUUCUGCCCCACUGAGGAGAUGACUUUUAGCUGGAUCUGGGGGCGCUGGACAAACUGGUUAGAAGCAACUGCACAGCACAGUCAACACUCUGCAGAGGGCUGAGAGCCUUGGAUGGAUACCCUGCCGAGGCUCCUAUUUUUGAUUUAACAACCAUUAUCUGAGUGCUACUCAUUCAUGUGCCAGGAACCAUGCUAAUGACAAGUGUGCGAUGAUGAUCCAACAGCAGACACACUGUGGCUGUCACUGAGACAAAGUCUGGUGUCAGAUGCUAAAUACACACUUGGACAAAUGAAUGUAAAGUUCCCCAUGGUAAUGGUAUUAGGAAGACAUGGAAGGAAACGCUGAUGUACAUUGGUGUUUAUGAAUUGAUUAUGGGAGGCGGGAUGAACCCUGUAAUCAGCAAGUACCACACAAAUUGUACUGGCUGGGAACUGUAGUUGAGUUACAAGGCAACUGGCACUGGCAAGUUCUAGCUUUUACAUUGAGUACCAAACCAAUGUUGAGUAUCAAACAAAUUAUGAGCACUGGGACAAAAUUUCAUGUCAAAAUGCACUGAACACCAAAUUCAAUGAGUUUCAAAGCAGCUGAGUACCAAGGUAUGACUGGCCAAGUGCUGACUUCCUAGAGGAAGGGAUGUCUGAACUCAGAUGGGAGCAGCCUGUUCCCAACAGAAGACAAAACAUGAACAAAGGUCCUGAGGCAGAAAGAAGCUUGAUGAGUUCCAGAAGGCCAGCAGGGCCGACCCAGAAAGUCUGAGGAGCAAAUCUGUGAUACAAAACAAAUCCAGAGGAGAAAUAGUGGGGUAGGCUGUGUAGCAGCUCAGCGGACAGACUAAGGACCUAGACUCUAUCACAUGGGCAUUGGGAAGCCCCUGAAAGUUUCUGGCAGAAAAAUGACACGAUCAUUUCUACAUGCUGAAAUGAUCUCUGUGCUAUAACAAGAACCAAAGAAGAUAGACCUGUAAGGAGCUAUGAGAGAAGGAGACAGCUUGGACUUGGGGGUUGGUGGGAACAGAGAGGGGAGCAAAUGUACGGGAGGACUAUCUGGGAGGACUGUGAACAGGGCUCUGUGGUAGACUGAACAGGAAGAAGACAGCGAAGUGGUAUCUUGGCUCACUAACUUGAUUCUUUCCAUGAUUCUGGUCACAAACUGAACUGGACGAGAACUGAACUGAAUUUCUCCAUAACGUCAGCACUGAACCUAACCACUGAAUUUGAUUCGGUUCUCCUCCAACUCAGUUUGCAACCAGGAUCAUGGAGAGGAUUAAGUUCGUGAAGCGAGGCACCACUGUACCUGCUUGUGAAUUUGCUUUAAAUUCCUGCCCAGUAUGUGAAGUAGACAUUAGUGCCUUGUUCAUCAGGUUAGUGAUCGAAUAAAGGGAGGAGAGUAAUUUAACUAAUCAAGCACCUAAUCACCUCUCUCAUUUCCUGGGUCCAAUUACAUCACACUGACUCUACUCAAGUCAGAAAAGUCCAUGGCAUUAAAUAAGAAGAUCUGAGAAUUGUUUAUAAUAAUCAGCAUCAACUAUAACGAUAAACAGAACCUUUAUUAGAAGUCUACUUAAAAAUCCAACAUCUUGUGUUUGGUUUUCACUUAUUAGGUGAAAACAGUUACCUUUAACUGUACCUACAGAAGGUUUCCCACUUCAUUUGUUUCUGCUUUUGCUGCUACUAAUAGAUUCUGAACUGUUGAGUUGGUCAUAUGGUUUUCUGUUGGUGGAUACACAAAGAGGCUUUUUGUUCAUUUGACCUGCAAGGUUCAUCUUACUUCUUUUUUGGUGUUUUAUUUCUAAUCGUUCCUAAGUGUGUUGAAAAUGAAGAGAUGCAUAGUUCUAGGAAACUAUGUUUCAGUUACUUUUCUCUCAUUGCUGAGACAAAAUACCCAAGGCCCAGAAUUAAGGAAGGAAGGGUUCAUUUAACACACAGUUUGUG
ensembl:lincRNA